ACGGGAGCUACCACGGAUGGUCGGGAAGGGAUGGAAGAAUGAAAAAGAAAGAGAAAAAGAAAAAGCGUCAAAGAGAACGUCAAAAUGGUUGUGAAGGACGUCAAAAGCAGGAGACGAGGGCCCUUCAUCUUCAAAAACUCAAAAACCGACAAGGGGAGCCUUAAAAAGCGGGAAGCUCCUCUUCCUUCCAAAUAACGACUCCGUACCACAAAAUCUCAUUUUCCGGCGAUCGGAAAGUCGGAAAGCGAGGGUCCGUCUGCUUUACGGCGAAUCUUUACGGGGGUUCGGGAUCCGCGACAAACGGCGCCUAUAUAUAGGCGAGAGAGUGAGAGUGUUUGCCAUCUUCCACGGAUAGGAAUAACUGAAAACAAGUGAGAGAAUCUUUCUACUCAAGUAAACGAGAUAUCGUGUCGGAAUUUCAACAAAAUCGAUCGCAUAGGGAGAGGGAGCGUGAAGUUUCGGAGGCAAGGUUUAAGGUUCCAAGACGUUGGAGGUGAUGGAUAAGCAAAUUCUCAUGUCGGCACUGGGUGUCGGGCUCGGUGUUGGUGUGGGGCUUGGCUUGGCUUCUGGGCAGGCAGUAAGCAAAUGGACGACAUCAAGUUCUUCCACAGGUGUGACCACUGAGCGAAUUGAGCAGGAGCUGCUGCGACAGGUCAUCGAUGGUAGAGAUAGCAGCGUCAAGUUCGAUGAAUUCCCAUACUACCUCAGUGAGCAGACACGGGUGUUAUUGACAAGUGCAGCAUAUGUUCAUUUGAAGCAAGCUGAAUUUUCUAAGUAUACUAGAAAUCUCUCUCCUGCAAGUCAGGCAAUUUUGCUCUCAGGUCCUGCUGAGCUUUACCAGCAAAUGCUUGCGAAAGCUUUGGCCCAUUAUUUCGAAGCCAAGUUGCUAUUGCUAGAUGUAACCGACUUUUCACUAAAGAUGCAGUGCAAAUAUGGAAGUCCCAAUAAAGAAUCAUCGUUCAAGAGGUCCAUCUCUGAGGCUGCAAUGGAGCAGAUGUCUAAUUUAUUUGGAUCAUUUUCAAUGCUUCCAUCAAGAGAGGAACCCAGAGGGACAUUAAGGAGGCAAAGCAGUGGUGUGGAUAUAAGGUCAAGGGGAUCUGAAUCUCCUAAUAAUGCUCCAAAGCUUCGUAGAAAUGCUUCUGCUGCAGCUGAAAUCAGUAACCUUGCUUCACAAUGCUCUCCUGUCAAUCCAGUUCCUCUCAAGCGCACCAGCAGCUGGUCUUUUGAUGAGAAACUUCUUAUACAGUCACUUUACAAGGUUCUGGUCUCAGUAUCAAAAACCAAUCCCUUUAUCCUCUACCUCAGGGAUGUUGAAAAACUCCUCCUUAGGUCCCAAAGGGCAUAUACCUUGUUCCAGAAAAUGUUGAAGAAAUUAUCGGGGCCAGUAUUGAUACUUGGUUCAAGGAUGUUGGAUCCGGGUAAUGAUUAUGGAGAGGUGGAUGAGAAGCUCAGCCUUCUAUUCCCUUACAACAUAGAGAUCAAGCCACCAGAGGAUGAGACUCACCUUGUCAGCUGGAAAUCCCAACUGGAAGAAGACAUGAAAAUGAUUCAGUUUCAGGAUAACAGAAACCACAUCACUGAGGUACUUGCAGCAAACGAUCUUGACUGUGACGAUCUGGGUUCAAUCUGCCUUGCAGAUACAAUGGUACUCGGUAAUUACAUAGAAGAGAUUGUGGUAUCAGCAAUUUCUUAUCACCUGAUGAAUAACAAGGACCCUGAGUACAGAAAUGGAAAUCUUGUCAUUUCAUCUAAGAGUUUGUCCCAUGGAUUGAGCAUAUUCCAGGAAGGUAAGCUUGGUGGCAAAGACACUCUAAAGCUGGAAGCAAAUGCUGAAGCUGGAAAGGAGGCUGAAGAGGAAGAUGCUACUGCUGGUGCGAAGUCUGACGCAAAGACUGAGGGUUCGAUGCCUGAGAAUAAAAGUGAAGCAGAGAAAUCAGUUCCAGUGGUGAAGAAGGAUGGCGAAAAUUCAUCUCCUUCAACAAAAACACCUGAAGUGGCUCCUGAUAAUGAGUUUGAGAAGCGCAUUAGACCUGAGGUCAUCCCAGCUAGUGAAAUUGCAGUUACAUUUGCUGAUAUAGGUGCCUUGGAUGACAUUAAAGAAUCACUUCAGGAACUGGUCAUGCUUCCCCUUCGGAGGCCUGAUCUCUUUAAAGGAGGACUCCUAAAGCCUUGCAGAGGAAUAUUAUUGUUUGGACCACCUGGUACUGGAAAAACAAUGAUGGCAAAGGCCAUCGCCAAAGAAGCUGGAGCAAGUUUCAUCAAUGUCUCCAUGUCCACCAUCACGUCAAAAUGGUUUGGGGAAGAUGAGAAAAACGUUAGGGCUUUGUUUACCCUAGCAGCCAAGGUUUCUCCAACCAUCAUCUUCGUAGACGAGGUUGAUAGCAUGCUUGGGCAACGGACUAGAGUUGGGGAGCAUGAGGCCAUGCGGAAGAUUAAAAAUGAGUUCAUGACUCAUUGGGAUGGGCUCUUGACAAAACCUGGAGAACGGAUCCUUGUCCUUGCUGCAACAAACAGGCCAUUUGACCUUGAUGAAGCAAUUAUCAGGCGGUUCGAGCGCAGGAUCAUGGUCGGCCUUCCAUCAGUGGAGAGUAGAGAACAGAUCUUGAGAACGCUUUUGUUGAAAGAAAAGAUUGAAGAAGGACUUGACUUUCAGGAGCUUGCAGUUAUGACGGAAGGAUAUAGUGGAAGUGAUCUCAAGAACUUGUGUACAACGGCGGCAUAUCGGCCUGUUAGGGAGCUAAUACAGAAAGAAAGACUAAAGGAUUUGAGAUACCUUUUAAUCACAGGAGAGGAAGCAGAACACUGAGGAAGGACAGAAUACAGAAGGGGAUUCAGAUACUAGAGAAGCAGAUAAGGAGGAAACAUUAAUUGACCUAAGGCCAUUAAACAUGGAGGAUAUGAGACAGGCAAAGAACCAAGUUGCUGCCAGUUUUGCUUCUGAGGGUUCUAUCAUGGGUGAGCUGAAGCAAUGGAAUGAUUUGUAUGGGGAAGGAGGCUCAAGGAAGAAGCAGCAGUUAACAUACUUCCUUUAGUGCAGAGGAUUGCUCUCACCAUUCCAUUCAUUAGUCCCAUUCUCCAUGCAAGAGAGCGGAAAUUCAAGGGAAAACAUGCACUUGUCUGAAACUGUUGGAUGUUUCUAGUUUGGACGUCAUCCGAUUCGUGGAAUGAAAGCACCUAAUGAAGACACUCAGUUAGAGUCCUUGCAAUCUCAGGAAGCACAAAAUCCAUAUGUAAUAUUUUCCAUCUAAUAUAUUUGGUAUGUGUGUAUCAUGCUUGUGUUUUGCGCGUGCCAUCAAACGAAUAAGUCCCAGGAACUUGCUACUGCUACAAGCAUCAUGUAUCUUUGUUCUUUAGGCUUUCCCUGAAAGCUGACCAUUUUUGGUUUCUUUCUUA